GAUGAACGCUGGCGGCGUGCCUAAUACAUGCCAGUCGAGCGAACGGACGAGAAGCUUGCUUCUCUGAUGUUAGCGGCGGACGGGUGAGUAACACGUGGAUACCUACCUAUAAGACUGGGAUAACUUCGGGAAACCGGAGCUAAUACCGGAUAAUAUUUUGAACCGCAUGGUUCAAAAGUGAAAGACGGUCUUGCUGUCACUUAUAGAUGGAUCCGCGCUGCAUUAGCUAGUUGGUAAGGUAACGGCUUACCAAGGCAACGAUGCAUAGCCGACCUGAGAGGGUGAUCGGCCACACUGGAACUGAGACACGGUCCAGACUCCUACGGGAGGCAGCAGUAGGGAAUCUUCCGCAAUGGGCGAAAGCCUGACGGAGCAACGCCGCGUGAGUGAUGAAGGUCUUCGGAUCGUAAAACUCUGUUAUUAGGGAAGAACAUAUGUGUAAGUAACUGUGCACAUCUUGACGGUACCUAAUCAGAAAGCCACGGCUAACUACGUG
rnacentral:rRNA from 1 species